rnacentral:rRNA from 1 species
GACGAACGCUGGCGGCGUGCUUAACACAUGCAAGUCGAACGGAAAGGCCCUGCUUUUGUGGGGUGCUCGAGUGGCGAACGGGUGAGUAACACGUGAGUAACCUCCCUUUGACUUUGGGAUAACUUCAGGAAACUGGGGCUAAUACCGGAUAGGAGCUCCUGCUGCAUGGUGGGGGUUGGAAAGUUUCGGCGGUUGGGGAUGGACUCGCGGCUUAUCAGCUUGUUGGUGGGGUAGUGGCUUACCAAGGCUUUGACGGGUAGCCGGCCUGAGAGGGUGACCGGCCACAUUGGGACUGAGAUACGGCCCAGACUCCUACGGGAGGCAGCAGUGGGGAAUAUUGCACAAUGGGCGGAAGCCUGAUGCAGCAACGCCGCGUGCGGGAUGACGGCCUUCGGGUUGUAAACCGCUUUCGCCUGUGACGAAGCGUGAGUGACGGUAAUGGGUAAAGAAGCACCGGCUAACUACGUG